GGAAACUGACCCCAAGAGCUGGGCAUCUUACGUAAGCGAGUUUCCAGUGACCACUGGGGUUGUGUGACAGUGCCCAGGAAAUGGCAGUGCCCUGGGGGCAGGCUGCCCGCUGUCCUGCCUGCUUUACUUGAGUGCCGUGUGGAUGGAAUGACCAAGGAGGUGCUGAUCCUGUUUGCUGUGCGAUCUCUGCUCAGUCUUUUCAAGUGGGAGAAAGGAAAACAAUUAGUUGACGUCACCUGUGUUGGAGAUCAACACGUACUAGCAGAGAUUGUCUUGUGUGGAAAAAACCUGUGUUCCUCAUAAAUGCAUAGAAGGGAUUUGCAUAUUAAAACAAGCCACUUCAGGCAGAUAGGAGCUAUAGAGGCCUCACAAUGCCAUGGUAUGUCAGUUCCUUCAUUAGGCUUUUCUAAAGUCUUCCAGCCUGGUUUGACUUGUGAGAGGGAGAGAGAUACCCCUGGGACACUGGCUCUGAAAAAGGAGCCCUUGGGGCCUCUCCUGCCUAUACCAGCUACUCUUGGAGAGAAGAAACUGAAGUUUCCAUGUGCUGCAAGGAAGGGGAAUAAACCAGAUGGUGGAGAAGUAGCCAUCAUUUUCCUUGAGGAACUGAAACCUAAGUGUGUGUGUGUGUCCCUCCGUAUUAGGGGCUCUGUGUCUCAGGUAAUAAGGUCACAGCUUUCAGAAAGGGCCUUUUACCUCAUUUAAUUACACCCACCACGAUUUUUGCCGCCUGUCAGCAUCAAGCCAUUUAAAGACAUUAUUGCAUUUUUUCCUCUUCAUACUACUGGCUCAUUCCUGCCUUCCCAUCUAGCUUUGAUCAUUUCCAGGCAGUACAUGCUGGCACCUCCCCAGCUCCAGGUUUCUAUGGAGCAGAAGGCAAUGUGGCUUUGCAGUGUUUGAUGUCUGAUGAGAAAGACCUAGUGUUAUGGGCACAUGUUUGGCAUAAGGCUUAUUGGUUAAUCUGAACUACCAGCUGGCUGCCUUUUUCUCUCUGAAGCAGCUGAGUAGGCUGCAGGGUCUUGCAUUAUCAGUGGGUAUAAAUGUAGAAUCCAGAAGUUGUUCUCAACUAAAAUAAGGCAGGGUCGCUAACUGCAUAAUCAAUUACACAAGUGACCCCCUUGGGUGUGGUCAGGCAAACCCCACACUUGCCUUAGGCCUAUUAUUCAAGGCUUCCCAGACCUCAGUUACUGUGCCAGUUCCAGAACACUGCUAGCACCUGCUGUUUCCCAGGCAGCUGUGUGUGUUCUGCCCUUCACCAAAGCCCAAUCUCAAGCUCUGUUGUAGAGCAGAGCGCAUACAUACCUGACUGGGAGGUGUGCAACAGAGGUGCACUCAGGUCCAGCACAGACUCCUCACGCUAAGCUCCAGAAGCCUGAGGGACCAAUUACGGUUUUGGUAGCUCCUUCGCUUCGGAAGCAUUCUUAAUACAAAAGAGCACAGUCUCUGCCCCCAAAGAGUUUUCAAGCUCCAAGCUGAGGGAGGGGGCAUUACAUGAGGAGAGUCAAAGUGGGGACCAUCCAUAGCAAUACAAAUCACCCCUGGCUAGUAUCUGUUCCAGUCUAUGGAAACCUUUGGUCCAAUCCAAAGUUAGUCCAUCUCUCUUAACCCAAGGAUGGGAAUUUCCCUGAUGCUCUGAACCAGCAAAAGGAAGUACAAGUUCUUAACUGUAUUUGAGGGGUUUAAAGAAAGAAGACUGAUCACACGUACUUACAAUGACACAAUUCUUGCCUAUGUGAACGUAGGAGCCAAUCUGGGCUGCAUUGACAACGCAGUCUUCUUCUAUAAAGACAUGAUCACCGAUGUGGAGAGGGAAGAAAGCAACUCUGGAGAAGAAGGGGUUAUUUGCUCAGGCUCUGGAGCACCGAUGAAUCCACAAUAGCAUUAAACCCAAAAUCAUGCAAGUGUCCUACCCCCACCAGCUUGCCAAAGGCAGGGCCUGGAGCCAAGACAGAGCUGGUCAGAGACAGUGCAUUUUAUAUUAAUUCCUCAUGAUGAUCAAGCAACUUUUCAAAUCAAACCAACUGAUAACCAUUAACUUUUUGCAAUAGGCAUCAGUGCAGGGAGAGGGGGGGAAAGGCAUACAAGGAGAAGCCAAACCAGCCUGCAGGGAUAUAAGUAGGUCCUGCCAGCCAAGACUUCAUGGACAUUCUGUCUGAUGUGCUUAUCUGACCCUUGUCUCCACAGUAUCUAUGUGCCUCACAAUCUUUUAAUGUAUUUAUCCUCUCAACAUCCCCAUGAGCAGGGUAGUGUAGUUCUCCCCAUUGGACAGAUGGGGAACUGAGGCACAGAGCGCUUGUGUGGCUUGCCAAAGGUCACACAGGAAGCCUAUGUAUAUCAGGGAAUUGAACCUGGGUCUCAAGUCCUAGGCUAGUGCCCUAAUCACUGGACCAUCCUUCCAGCUCGACUGUUACAAACUUGGAGAAGUAUUGCUGCCUUCUAACUCUAGCAGCUCUUUAAUGGGUCUGUGUUACUAGUGCACCAGACACUUAACUUCUCAGGAAGUGCCCUAGAAUUCUAUGGUUAUACGAAAAUAUCACCAAGAUGGUGUUUUUAAAAACAAUUUAAGGUCUGAAUCCCUGGGUCUGUCUAAGCUCUACUUAGAGGAAGGAAGGUGGAAAAAAGUGGCUCUAAACCCCCUCUCUGCUCCUGGGACUGGAUGGGGCCUAAAACCGCAGCCCAAGAGUUGCUCUAAAUUAUGCUGUCUGAGCUGCUGGCCAGAAAUUGUCAGCACAUGAUGCACUCCAGUUUUGUUCCCUGUAUGUCACUUGUGCCUGAGGAACAGGGAUUGAGGUUGAGAGCUGGCUAUGGCUGAAUAAAGCAUUAACGCUAACUGGUUUGUGAUACUGCCUCAACGGACCAUAAGCUUUUCAGGGCAGAGGUACCUCUCUGGCUGUCACAAAUGGGCUCAAAUAAUGAAGCAACUAUCUGUAUCUGAAACUCCACAGGAGAAAAAAAAAACAUUAAAUCUGUUCUCUUUUGAAUACUGAAUUUUAACUAUUAAAUUCCAAGCAGGAAGCUAGGACACUGAACACACAGUCUGACAUUUUCUGGACUUAAUGUGCUGUUUAGGAGCUUUAGGUCAGCUGCCUUUAGGUCAGCUGUUAAAGCAUUUUGAAUUAAGAGCCCAAGUGGGAAGCAGGAAUGAGAAGAAUAAAUCAAUGAAAUCUGAAAGUUCAGAAUGAUUAAGUGAUUUUAAUCCUUAUAGGGCCAUCUACUGAUAAACACUGAGAAGGCCAUAAUAACCCACGACUGGGUAUGAAGGUUAAUUCAAAAUAUCUAUAGGUGAUGCAUGGUCCCAAAGGACAUGUUCAGAUUAGAUGUAAAUAAAGGCCAGUGGGUUGUGUGUGCAUUUAGACAUGGGAAUCUUUAGGGAUUUCUUUUGCCAAUGCUUCAGUCAAGGUAUUAGAUACAAGUAGGUCAUAAGAGGUAAACUGCAAAGAGGAGGAAAAAAAGGGUUGUGCCCAUGUUGCUUCUUUUGAUGCAGAAAGUCAGUCUGACAGGGCAUUUUAAAGUUAAAUUAAUUUCAAGCAUGCAGUUUAUAUCAGAAAUUCCUCAACCCUGGGAGACUAUGGCUGGAAUAUGGUAUCUAAAGCCCUGGACUCUGCAAUGUGUAUACAUGAGCAAUCACUGCAGUCAGAUGGGGCUCCAUGUGAGUGCAGGGAUCCCUGGUCCCCCUCUCAUUGCAGGAUUGGGCCACACAUGACAAGUAACAUACAAACAUACACAUCUUUUUCUGUUACAAAUAAGCAACCUCUUGGUAUGCUCAACUGCUCUACAAUCUAGCCAUCAUUAACUGGCUGAUUUCCUAUAGGCAUCCAGGGCAGAGGCUGGUCUUGAAAGAAGGAAGUAUAGUAGCCUGAUGGAUCAGUUUGGGGAUGUUUUUCCAUGCAUGUUAAAUAACCACAGAUGCCAAAGGACAAAUAAACAGAACCCUACAAAUAAUAUUCCAGCCUAGUUAUCUCCAGUACCAAAGAUCUAAGAUGUAUAUUGUACAAUGCAAGGCUCUUCCUUUAUACACAUUAUUAAAAUAUGGUAUUACUAUAGUUAGAUCUGGCUGAGGUGCAUUGGAAGAGUAUGUGCUAGUCCCAGGCUGCAUUCAGGACUUAGAAAAUGAGUAAGUAUUUUUAAAAGGUGAACUGAAAAGUUUAAACAGAAUUGUUUAAGAAUCCUAACCACUAACAAAAUAUAUUUAGACUUAAAGAUGGCAAAUAUGUACAUUUUAAAUAAACAGGCCAGCCUCUCCUUCACCUACAUGUCCAAGUUCAGUCUAGUGAUUUCCAUGCUGCAAUUUGACAGGAUUACUGACCCACAAAGCAGAGCAGGGAAUAGGAGAAAAUGCUGACUUAGGAGGAUUUAUGCAAAACUGUAGCAAGAGAAACAGUCCCCUGAGUUCAGCUCUUAGCAAAUCCAAAGCUUCUAAGUUCACCUUUCAGUUUAACAAGCCUCAAAACAUA